rnacentral:rRNA from 1 species
GCCGCCGCCGCCGCGCUCACGCCCCAAAUUUUCUCCCCCCUUCCCCGAUCCCGCAGCGGCCGCCUCUGCUGCUCCUGCGCAUGGUCGCCGCCGCCUCUGCUGCUCCCGCGCGUGGUCGUCGCGGCCUCUCCUCCCACCUCAGCGUACAACCGCCUCAGCGCCUCUUCCUCUUCAUCUCAGAAGACGGCAUCGAGUGCGGCCGUCCCGUGCUCUCUUUCCCUCCCAGGUCGACCCAGGAGGAGCUCGAGCGGCAGAGCUGGUCCACGGCGCCGUCGUUGUUGGCAGGAGCGUGAGCGCAGACACAGUCGGCUCCCUCCGGCUUUCGUGUCGCCGUCCAUCAACCCGUGAG